rnacentral:rRNA from 1 species
AGAACGAACGCUGGCGGCAUGCCUAACACAUGCAAGUCGAACGAGACCUUCGGGUCUAGUGGCGCACGGGUGCGUAACGCGUGGGAAUCUGCCCUUGGGUUCGGGAUAACAGUUGGAAACGACUGCUAAUACCGGAUGAUGACUUCGGUCCAAAGAUUUAUCGCCCAGGGAUGAGCCCGCGUCGGAUUAGCUAGUUGGUGGGGUAAAGGCCUACCAAGGCAACGAUCCGUAGCUGGUCUGAGAGGAUGAUCAGCCACACUGGGACUGAGACACGGCCCAGACUCCUACGGGAGGCAGCAGUGGGGAAUAUUGGACAAUGGGCGAAAGCCUGAUCCAGCAAUGCCGCGUGAGUGAUGAAGGCCUUAGGGUUGUAAAGCUCUUUUACCCGGGAUGAUAAUGACAGUACCGGGAGAAUAAGCCCCGGCUAACUCCGUGCCAGCAGCCGC